UGGGCUGGCCGGGCGACCGCGUCGCUCCCGUGAGGGAGUGCCGAGGAAGGUCCGGGCUCCACAGGGCAGGGUGAUGGUCAACAACCAUCCGGGGCAACCCGCGGGAAAGUGCCACAGAGAACAGACCGCCACUCACGGCUCCGGCCGGGAGGGGCAAGGGUGAAACGGUGGUGCAAGAGACCACCAGCGCUCCGGGUGACCGGAGCGGCUAGGCAAACCCCACCCGGAGCAAGAUCAGACAGUGUGCGUCCGAGGGCGGCCCGCCCGAGCACACGGGUAGAUCGCUUGAGGGAGUCGGCAACGGCUCUCCUAGAUGGAUGGUCGCCCCGCCGUACGGCGGACAGAACCCGGCCUACAGGCCAGCCCAUUCG
rnacentral:RNase_P_RNA from 1 species